AUACGUAGGUGGCGAGCGUUAUCCGGAAUUAUUGGGCGUAAAGGGUGCGUAGGUGGCACAAUAAGUUGGGAGUGAAAUCUUGGGGCUCAACCCCAAGCCUGCUCUCGAAACUGUUGAGCUAGAGUGCAGAAGAGGCAAGUGGAAUUCCAUGUGGAGCGGUAAAAUGCGUAGAUAUAUGGAGGAACACCAGUGGCGAAGGCGGCUUGCUGGUCUGUAACUGACACUGAGGCACGAAAGCGUGGGGAGCAAAUAGGAUUAGAUACCCUAGUAGUCCACGCCGUAAACGAUGAGAACUAAGUGUUGGAGAAAUUCAGUGCUGCAGUUAACGCAAUAAGUUCUCCGCCUGGGGAGUAUGCACGCAAGUGUGAA
rnacentral:rRNA from 1 species